rnacentral:ncRNA from 2 species
AUGCGUUAAGUAAAUAUAUUUCGUAUAAUUUUGGAGAUAUGGUCCAAAAGUUUCUACUGGCAACCGUUAAAUUGCCUGUCUACGAGUGAAAGUGUACCUAAG